rnacentral:rRNA from 1 species
CAGUAGCCGCGGUAAUACGGAGGAUCCAAGCGUUAUCCGGAAUCAUUGGGUUUAAAGGGUCCGUAGGCGGUCUUGUAAGUCAGUGGUGAAAGCCCAUCGCUCAACGGUGGAACGGCCAUUGAUACUGCAGGACUUGAAUUAUUGGGAAGUAACUAGAAUAUGUAGUGUAGCGGUGAAAUGCUUAGAGAUUACAUGGAAUACCAAUUGCGAAGGCAGGUUACUACCAAUUGAUUGACGCUGAUGGACGAAAGCGUGGGUAGCGAACAGGAUUAGAUACCCCGGUAGUCCCUGUCUCUUAUAA